UUUAUUUUAAAGGCUUCUGCAUGCUGUCACUUCUUUGUGCACUGCUCACUUGAUUCAUGCAAAAACAUUUCUAAUGACCUCAUCAUUUAACAGGUGUUUGUCUUCAGGUGAAAAGCACACUCUGAUAAAUACCAGGUAGAUACAUCACAUGAAGGGUCCAGUGAAAUAAUCCUUCAUGGCUGCAAACUACAGAAGCAUGAACGUCAGUGUUUGUUCUUAUUCGCCGUCUGGAAACUCAAACAGAGGAUGUUUGCUCUCUGUGAGGACAUGGGACCGUUCAGAGAUAAACUGACCCGACAAAGACAGUGAAGGAAAUGUUUCUCUGUGCAGAAGAUUAACCAGCUCCCUUUGUGUUCAGGAACAUCACGUUAUGGAACACUACGACCGCAGUCAGGCACUCACUGAGCUUUCCCUGGCGGACGUCCAGGCGUGACGCUCCAUUUACAAUGAACUGAGGCGACGGACAGAGCUCCUGAGAAGUUUCAUGAAAAACAAGAAGAAGAAGAAGAGAGACAAAUCAGAGAGGGACACAGACGAUGUUAAAUAAAUAAGACAGGAUUCAGCAUGUCUGGACGAUGUUAAAGGGAGGGACAGCGGCUCA